GAUGAACGCUGGCGGCGUGCUUAACACAUGCAAGUCGAACGAACCUUCGGGUUAGUGGCGGACGGGUGAGUAACGCGUGGGAAUCUGCCCUCAGGAGGGGGAUAACGACUGGAAACGGUCGCUAAUACCCCAUAUGCCGAGAGGUGAAAUGAAUUUCGCCUGAGGAUGAGCCCGCGUCUGAUUAGCUAGUUGGUGGGGUAAGAGCUCACCAAGGCGACGAUCAGUAGCUGGUCUGAGAGGAUGAUCAGCCACACUGGGACUGAGACACGGCCCAGACUCCUACGGGAGGCAGCAGUGGGGAAUUUUCCGCAAUGGGCGAAAGCCUGACGGAGCAACGCCGCGUGAGGGAUGAAGGCCUCUGGGCUGUAAACCUCUUUUCUCAAGGAAGAAGAUCUGACGGUACUUGAGGAAUAAGCCACGGCUAAUUCCGUGCCAGCAGCCGCGGUAAUACGGGAGUGGCAAGCGUUAUCCGGAAUCAUUGGGCGUAAAGCGUCCGCAGGUGGCUUUGUAAGUCUGCCGUUAAAGCGUGGAGCUUAACUCCAUUUCAGCGGUGGAAACUACAAGGCUUGAGUGUGGUAGGGGCAGAGGGAAUUCCCGGUGUAGCGGUGAAAUGCGUAGAUAUCGGGAAGAACACCAGUGGCGAAGGCGCUCUGCUGGGCCAUAACUGACACUCAUGGACGAAAGCCAGGGGAGCGAAAGGGAUUAGAUACCCCUGUAGUCCUGGCCGUAAACGAUGAACACUAGGCGUCGGGGGAAUCGACCCCCUCGGUGUCGUAGCCAACGCGUUAAGUGUUCCGCCUGGGGAGUACGCACGCAAGUGUGAAACUCAAAGGAAUUGACGGGGGCCCGCACAAGCGGUGGAGUAUGUGGUUUAAUUCGAUGCAACGCGAAGAACCUUACCAGGGUUUGACAUCCUGCGAACCUCUGAGAAAUCGGAGGGUGCCUUCGGGAACGCAGUGACAGGUGGUGCAUGGCUGUCGUCAGCUCGUGUCGUGAGAUGUUGGGUUAAGUCCCGCAACGAGCGCAACCCACGUCUUUAGUUGCCAGCAUUCAGUUGGGCACUCUAGAGAGACCGCCGGUGAUAAACCGGAGGAAGGUGUGGAUGACGUCAAGUCAUCAUGCCCCUUACAUCCUGGGCUACACACGUACUACAAUGCUACGGACAAAGGGCAGCAAACUCGCGAGAGCAAGCAAAUCCCAUAAACCGUGGCUCAGUUCAGAUCGUAGGCUGCAACUCGCCUACGUGAAGGAGGAAUCGCUAGUAAUCGCAGGUCAUUUAUACUGCGGUGAAUACGUUCCCGGGCCUUGUACACACCGCCCGUCACACCAUGGAAGUUAGCCACGCCCGAAGUCGUUACUCCAACCCUUGUGGAGGAGGAUGCCGAAGGUGGGGCUGAUGACUGGGGUG
rnacentral:rRNA from 1 species